rnacentral:misc_RNA from 1 species
GAUGAAGAACGUAGCGAAAUGCGAUAAGUAAUGUGAAUUGCAGAAUCCCGUGAACCAUCGAGUCUUUGAACGCAAGUUGCGCCCGAAGCCUCGGCUAAGGGCACGUCUGCCUGGGCGUCACGCAUCGCGUCUCCCCCAAACCGCCAAGGCGGAGGGGAAGGAAGAUGGCUUCCCGUGCCUCACCCGGGCGCGGUUGGCCUAAAUUUGGAGCCCGCGGCACUUAGCUCUCGCGGCGAUAGGUGGUGAACAAGGCCUUGGCCGUGCAAACAACCCGCUGCGAAGCUCUAUGUCACGUGCGCUCGUCGGACCCUUUGAAGUUGCCUUUGGUGACUUAAAACCUUUGCGACCCCAGGUCAGGCGGGGCUACCCGCUGAAUUUAAGCAUAUCAAUAAGCGGAGGA